GUGCCAGCCGCCGCGGUACUACCGGCAGCUCAAGUGAUGUCCCAUAUUAUUGGGCCUAAAGCGUCCGUAGCUGGCCGCGCAAGUCCGUCGGGAAAUCCACCUGCCUAACAGGUGGGCGUCCGGCGGAAACUGUGUGGCUUGGAACCGGAAGGCUCAGAGAGUACGUCCGGGGUAGGAGUGAAAUCCCGUAAUCCCGCACGGACCACCGAUGGCGAAAGCACUUCGAGAAAACGGAUCCGACAGUGAGGGACGAAAGCCAGGGUCUCCAACCGGAUUAGAUACCCUGUAGUC
rnacentral:rRNA from 1 species